rnacentral:rRNA from 1 species
UACGAAGGGGGCUAGCGUUUUUCGGAUUUACUGGGCGUAAAGCGCGUGUAGGCGGGCCGCUAAGUCGGUGGUGAAAGCCCAGAGCUCAACUCUGGAAUUGCCUUCGAUACUGGCGGCCUGGAGCAUGAUAGAGGCGAGUGGAGUUGCGAGUGUAGAGGUGAAAUUCGUAGAUAUUCGCAGGAACACCAGUGGCGAAGGCGACUCGCUGGAUCAUUGUUGACGCUGAGACGCGAAAGCGUGGGGAGCAAACAGG